GGUGGGGUGGCCGAAUGGCCAGGUAGCGGUGCACAACACCGCGCAUGCAGGUUCGAAUCCUGCACCCACCU
rnacentral:tRNA from 1 species